UUAUGGUUGAUCUAUCUACACUUACACCACCACAAAGAAAAGUUAUUGGAGACAACCGUGCAAGAUUCACUAGCUUUGUGGCCUUACUUGAUAGAAGUAAGGUUAGUAUUCUUAUUGACAAAUGGGACCAUGUUCUUGAAGAAGUAAAGAACCAAAUAUGGCAAAAUAUCAUGUUAUGAAAAUCUUAACUUAACUUCCACAAUUAUUAGAAAAUUUGUAAAUAUAACAUUCAUGUACCUAUUAUGUAGCUAACAUAUGACAUCCCAAACAACAAAUUAUUGAGAAGUAAAUGGAUAUGAUAUGCUGGGCAAUGGUGGGGGGUUUCAAGACUGACCUUACUAGUCGGUAUAUUUAUGGUAAGUUAAGUCACAAGAAUCCUUGUGAGAUAUAUCAGUUCCUUGAUGAGGAAACGUGGCAGGCUUUUCGGGACAAACGAUUAGAACAUAUCUUUCAGG